GGCUCGAUGGUGAAACGGACGAUCAUCCCGUGCUUCUAACGCGGGGUUCCAGGUUCGAAUCCUGGUCGGGCCG
rnacentral:tRNA from 1 species